GACUGAAGUCACAUUUGUAAUAAUUCCAAGCAUAUUUCCAUUCUUUUUUAUUCCAUUCCUGAGUGCCAUUGUUAAUGUCACUAAGAAGUAUUAUCAAAUUACGACUUUUGGACAUGACGUCAAUUGUCUCUUGUUCCCGAGGAGCUCCGAAUGCACUGUCCCUGAAAAAUAAAAACACAUCAUAUCUUUUUCUCUCAAGAUAAGGAACCAAGGAAGUUAACAACCAUUUACGAACUAGCGGAUCAUCCUCAUUUGCUGAAAUAUAUAUAUCGUGUUUUAUACAAUGUGGCGCUACUGGCUUCUUUACGAAGUUGAAUAAAGAUCGUUUUAAUAUAAAAAAUUCAGACCGGAACUUGAAUAUAAUCGAUGCAAUUAUGAUUACUGCAGCAAAUGCUGAGCAUAUUGAAAUGUUUAACAACGACACAUUGUUAUUUGUCUCAGGACAUCCAAGAUCCACUUUUUCCAUUUCGGUAAUAGAUCGUAGUAGUCCAUUGUGUUCG
rnacentral:lncRNA from 1 species